rnacentral:snRNA from 1 species
AAUGGCAGGGCAGAUAUGAUCCCAAAGGUGAUUUUCCCAGGGUAAGGCCUAUCCUAAGGGGCAGGCUGAUUCCUGUGAGUUUCCUAAAAUGCAGGAAACUUGACUGCACAAUUCUGGGGUAAUGGGAGACUGCAUUCAUGCUUUUCCCCU